rnacentral:tRNA from 1 species
GGAUUGUGGCUCAGUGGUAGAAUGCUUGCCUAGCAUGUGUGAGGUACUGGGUUCGAUUCUCAGCACCG